rnacentral:rRNA from 1 species
CGUAGGGGGCAAGCGUUGUCCGGAUUUAUUGGGCGUAAAGAGCGUGUAGGCGGCCAGGUAGGUCGGUUGUGAAAACUCGAGGCUCAACCUCGAGAUGUCGACCGAAACCAUCUGGCUAGAGUCCGGAAGAGGAGAAUGGAAUUCCCGGUGUAGCGGUGAAAUGCGCAGAUAUCGGGAAGAACACCCGUGGCGAAGGCGGUUCUCUGGGACGGUACUGACGCUGAGACGCGAAAGCGUGGGGAGCGAACGGGAUUAGAUACCCUGGUAGUCCACGCCGUAAACGAUGGGAACUAGGUGUGGGCGGUGUCGACUCCGCCCGUGCCGAAGCUAACGCAUUAAGUUCCCCGCCUGGGGAGUACGGCCACAAGGCUA